rnacentral:rRNA from 1 species
UACGUAGGGGCAAGCGUGUCCGGAUUAUUGGCGUAAGAGCGUGUAGGCGGCCUGACAGGUCUGGCUGUCGAAACUCGAGGCUCAACCUCGGAGAUGUCGGCGGAACCGUCUGGCUAGAGUCCGGAAGAGGAGAGUGGAAUCCUGGUGUAAGCGGUGAAAUGCGCAGAUAUCAGGAAGAACACCUAUGGCGAAGGCAGCUCUCUGGGACGGUACUGACGCUGAGACGCGAAAGCGUGGGGAGCGAACAGG